GAGCUGGGGAUAUGUAACACCUAAGGGCCUGUUUUUUAACUACUAAAAAUCUGCACUACCAGUCUGUGAUGUUGAGGUGAAGAGCAUAGAAACUGAAGGAAGACUAUCAUCUAGUCUGAAAUCACCAUGUCCUUGCUCCAUCUCUGCUCUGAUCAACAGAAUGAGGCCAGGAACCAGCUGCUGGGGUAUCCCAGGGUUGGUGUGAAUUUGUGUCUGUAGCCACCUGAGAAAUGCCACAGCUGUGGCCUGGUGAGGCUCAAUGAGGGCACCCAGAAAACAGGCAGCAGAACUCCUCAAGAGCUUCCCUCCAUACUCCUGCAACCCUAUUUGGCUGAUACUUGGAGA